UAUUGCACAAUGGGGGAAACCCUGAUGCAGCGACGCCGCGUGAGUGAGGAAGUAUUUCGGUGUGUAAAGCCCUAUCAGCAGGGAAGAAAAUGACGGUAGCUGACUAAGAAGCCCCGGCUAACUACGUGCCAGCAGCCGCGGUAAUAAGUAGGGGGCAAGCGUUAUCCGGAUUUACAGGGUGUAAAGGGAGCGUAGACGGAAUUGCAAGUCUGAUGUGAAAAUCCGGGGCCCAACCCCGGAACUGCAUUGGAAACUGUAUUUCUAGAGUGUCGGAGAGGCAAGUGGAAUUCCUGGUGUAGCGGUGAAAUGCGUAGAUAUCAGGAGGAACACCAGUGGCGAAGGCGGCUUGCUGGACGACGACUGACGUUGAGGCUCGAAAGCGUGGGGAGCAAACAG
rnacentral:rRNA from 1 species